rnacentral:rRNA from 1 species
CAAAGAUUUAUCGGCAGAGGAUGGGCCUGCGUCUGAUUAGCUAGUUGGAAAGGUAACGGCUUACCAAGGCGACGAUCAGUAGCCGACCUGAGAGGGUGAACGGCCACAUUGGAACUGAGACACGGUCCAAACUCCUACGGGAGGCAGCAGUGGGGAAUAUUGCACAAUGGGCGAAAGCCUGAUGCAGCAACGCCGCGUGAAGGAAGAAGGCCUUCGGGUCGUAAACUUCUGUCCUUGGGGAAGAAGAACUGACGGUACCCAAGGAGGAAGCCCCGGCUAACUACGUGCCAGCAGCCGCGGUAAUACGUAGGGGGCAAGCGUUAUCCGGAAUUAUUGGGCGUAAAGAGUACGUAGGUGGCAACCUAAGCGCAGGGUUUAAGGCAAUGGCUCAACCAUUGUUCGCCCUGCGAACUGGGAUGCUUGAGUGCAGGAGAGGAAAGCGGAAUUCCUAGUGUAGCGGUGAAAUGCGUAGAUAUUAGGAGGAACACCAGUGGCGAAGGCGGCUUUCUGGACUGUAACUGACACUGAGGUACGAAAGCGUGGGGAGCAAACAGGAUUAGAUACCCUGGUAGUCCACGCCGUAAACGAUGAGCACUAGGUGUCGGGGUCGCAAGACUUCG